CGAACGCUGGCGGCAUGCCUAACACAUGCAAGUCGAACGAGAAAGUCACUUCGGUGGCGAGUACAGUGGCGCACGGGUGCGUAACACGUAGGUGACCUGCCUUUUAGUGGGGGAUAACACAAAGAAAUUUGUGCUAAUACCGCAUAAUGACAGCAAUUUUGAAAGUAGCUGUGGAAAGAAUGCCUCUAUACUAUGCAUUCGCUGAAAGAUGGGCCUGCGGAACAUUAGUUUGUUGGUGGGGUAAUGGCCUACCAAGACUACGAUGUUUAGCUGGUCUGAGAGGAUGAUCAGCCACACUGGAACUGAGACACGGUCCAGACUCCUACGGGAGGCAGCAGUGGGGAAUAUUGCGCAAUGGACGAAAGUCUGACGCAGCAAUGCCGCGUGAGUGAGGAAGGCCUUCGGGUUGUAAAGCUCUGUCAGUAGGGAAAAAUGGUUAAGGGUCCAAUAGGCCUUUAAUUUGAUGGUACCUACAAAGGAAGCACCGGCUAACUUC
rnacentral:rRNA from 1 species